UACAGUACUCUGAUUUCCACUUUUUGAAUUGAGUUUCGUACACAGUACUGAUGUAAGCAAACUAAAGGCGUGUAUUAAAGUUUUAAUGUAACCUCAAUGAUCAAUCAGGAAGCAAUCUAAACUGACUUUGAACAUAAUAAUGAGGCGUGAAGGUGUUUUAUGAAUAAGGAGUGCUACAAUUGUAUUCAGGAUUUUAACACAAGUCACUGCAUUGAUAUAUAUUAAGAAAUGAGCUAGUGUUCCAAUUAAGUGCUGGAUUUUACCACUUCACCUGUUUGCCAUCAUGUCAAGAAGGGAAUACCGUCCCAAUACCACAGUACAACCAAUCUCCAAGAAAGUUGGGUUUGCCAGCCUAAUGUCUUACAGUGCAACCACCAGCUACCCAACCAGGGUAGAGGCCUACCAACCUCGGAGUCCCCAGCGGGCAAACACGCCCCCUACAGACACCACUUCCCCCAGGGGUGGGGAUGGACAAAUCUCACCCAGGAGCGUGAGUUUCGGGAAUUCCAAACGUGAGGAGGAGAAGGACAAGCGUAAAAAAUAUUUAACUGCUCGCUAUGGACAACAUCAAAUGAUGCUGAUCAGAAAAAGAUUGGCAGUUGAAGACUGGUUGUAUGAAAAAUUAAGGGAUAUUUACAAUUGUGUGAAUGACGAUGAUGACCAUGAGUGUGCUCUCGACCUAGAAGAUAUUCUUAACUUAGAUUCAGAUUCAGAACGCUUGCAAUAUGUCACAGAAAGUUUAACAGAUGCCAAACAACCCCCAGACAUUGUUAAUGCAUUUGUUCAAGAGUUGCUACAAAGGGCAAAGACAUUGUAGAAUGUUGCGGAAACCUGCCAACAUGAAAGCCAGAUCUCCGUCUUUCUUCUGAUUGGUUGAACUAUCAUACUCAUUUGCAUAGGUCAUGUGACAUGCCAUGUGACACUCACUUGAAUAUUUAAUUCAGGGAUUUGUGUAUAUGAAUAUGAUACUAACUUGAAACUGUUGCAGAGUUUGGCACAUUGAUGUGAUUAUUGAAUGAAAUCAGUUCCAAGCUCUGUUUAUCUUGAAUUUGUGAUACUGGGAUAUGUUAAAUUGUAUUGUUACUUUGUAUGUAUACUUAUUUAGAAUAGGUAAGAGAUAAUCCAUUUGGGAUGACUGAUUGAUCAUACAUAAAAUUAUACAUAAAACUUGAUGAUUAAAUUAUUAAUAGGUAUUUUGCAAUGGUAAGUGAAUUUUCAUUUCCAUGGGAAACAUUUUUUUAAAUUUACCGUAAAUAAUCAAACAUAUCCAAAUCAGCCAAACAUUCUUAUUUUAAUCCAUUUUACAUUAUUGCGUUUUUCAUAAUAAGUAUGCUUAUAAAACACUAGCUGAUGUAAGCAUGUAAUUCCCUUUGCCAUACCUUGAUCAAAAUCUAGCCACAAUUCAUAGUAUUGUAUAAGGCACUACAUUUCAGAGAAAUUUUCAUUGUUUUCAAGUUCACAAACAAGCUUGCAACGUCAACAGCAAUAUAUUUGAAAUUCUUGGUACACAAAAUGGAAUUUUACAGCAUGUGACAGAAGAUUUAACAUGCCUUGCAAUAUGACAACUCAAACUUAGAUGGAAAUGGCUAUGAAUUAAUAUUUUACUUGCACCUGAAAGUGUUAAGUAACUUGAUUUUGACCCCAAUAUUAUUUGUUUACGUAUUUGCAAAAUGUUAAUUUUUAGCUCACCUGAUAUCAAAGUUCUCAAGGUGAACUAUUGUGAUUAUCCAUUUUCUUCGUACAACUAGAGACCACCUUUAUUACUAAAAUGUGUUGACAUUCUUAAUAUUGCUAGGCUGUGUUUAAAUCUGGGUUAUUUCCUCCCAAAAGUAAGUCACCAGGUCAAAUCCUAUAAAAAAAUUAUGACCUCUCUAGAGGCAAUCAUUAUUAUUUAAUCUUGAUGAAACUCAGAAUGUAUAUCUUCACAAUAGCAAGGUUGAGAUUUAAUCUGGGUGAGGUGUAAUGAAAAACAAGGUCACUGGGUCAAAUCUGCCUUCCUUACCUCAAAGGUCAAGGUCACUCUGUCGUUACAGGUAAAAUUUGGCAACACAAAUGAUUGCAAUCCAAAAUAGGAAUACAAGCUGCCUUAAAAACUGGUCUCCAUACCUCAAAGGGCAAGGUCACUCUAAAGAGUUAAUAGAACACAUUUGGCUGUAAAACAGUAUGGUCCUACUGCUAUUUUGUCAUACAUUAUGCUAUUUUAAGUAACUUACCACAAAUGACAACCACAAGGAGACAGCAUUUCAUGGGUAGUAAAUAUCUAUCUACUACAAAGUUCAAGGUCACAUUUAGACGUCCAAAAUCAAAUUUGGCCAUUAAACAUUUUGAAAAUUCUUUGCUUGUGUUAGAUAUAUCCAGAGUCUAAAAACAAUAGCUUAAUGUUGGGGCAUCCUCUAUGGACACAUUUCUCUUUCAUUUUGGUAUAUUGCUCUCUAACUGAGUUAUUUCAGGUAGAGUCUUUAACAAUUGGUGUCUGAGAACUCAGGUGGGUGCUUAAGGGCCAUCAUGGCCCUCUUGAAAUAUAUAUGAUAUUCUCAUGGAAAUAAUUUUUAUUUUGAAAUAGAUAUUUUUAAUUUAAUAUGAUUAUAUUCUUACCAUUGGGUUAUAAACAUGUAUCUGUAAUAUUUUAAUAUGCUGUUUAUUAUGGAUUCAUUAAAUGUACUUGCUGAUAAAUAGUUAUGAUUUGUGAGUGAUGUUGCACUAUAUAUUUACCAUAAAUCUUAGAAUUUUACAACCACUAGUCAGCUUUCAGAAAAUAUUCUUAAGGACGAAUUAUUGUCUCCUGACUAUUAAUUUGUAUAAGCUUACAAUAACUGUGCUAUAGCUUAAGGACAUCAGUUUCGAUAAGGUAAUAUUUGUAAAUGUAAUAUUCAUGAUAAUGGAAUGUUACUUGAUGUUUUGAAAUGCCUCAUUGAUCAAUGUAAUUCCCAUUUGUAAUAUUUGUAGUGGGUAAUUUUGUUCCAUGAUUUGAAUAAUGUCCGUCUUAUUUUAAUAUUUCACAAAUGUAUCUUGAUAAAAAGUUGAGAGAGAGGUUUUAUUAUAAAAUAUUUACUUAAAUAAUCUACUCUAGCAAAAAUCACACACACUGGCAGGAUUCCAUUCUCAAUGAGUUUGUUUUGUUAUUUGCCUUAAUAUUUGUAAGAACUUAAUGCAAUUGUCAAUUCCUUGCAGUUUUAGCCUCCUUCAUGUGUAUUAAUUUAUGUUUUUGGUAUUUAUAAGGCUAAUUAUAUUGUAUGAUCCAGUGUCUGAAAGAAAGAAAUACAACAGCAACAUUUAAUCGUAGGUAUUAUUUGUUUCUAAUUAACAUCUUUAAACCAAAGUUAAAAAAAAUCUGCAUAGCAAUUAUUAACAUUUAUUAGAAAUAUUCUUAUGUGAUGGCUGUUCAUGCUUAUUUGUACAGGCAUGUUCAAACAUUUUGAAUAUAACAUGCAUUCUGUAUGUAAGACUCCGUUUUCUGUUAAAUAAAUGAAAUUUAUAUGUAUUAGAACUUGGGCAAGAUGUUUUGACUGGUGUUUAAUGUACUGUGACAUUAUUAAUCCUGCAUGUAUAGACUAGAGAUUUUGUGUUGUGUUAGACUAAGCCACACUUUGUGAAGGCAUAUCAUUUGCAGAAUGUGUUACAAGCAAUAAUUAAUUUUUUUAGUCAAAUUUUGUCUCAAAACUGUCUACUUUUGUUUGUUUGAAUCAUUUGUUCAUUUUUGUUGAUAACAGCAAGUCUAAACAAGUAAAUCCAGUUUCCAUUCCAAUAAAAUACCCAUUUAUAAUCGAAACAGUUUUUAUUGUAAACUUUUUUAUAGUAUGUUAUUUGCGUUUUUUGUUGUAAAGUUUUUGUAUAGAUUAAAUUAUUUUGUGUUCUUUUGUUUGAUGUAUUUUAGAUUAUGGUGUACUAUUAGUACAUUAAAACCAUUUUUUCAUGAAUGAAUUGUUGGUAUUUGAAGAAAUUACAUCAAAAGCAAUAUACAUGUAUAGAAUACACUGCUGCCCUGGGUCUUCCUGUCUGCAUUUACUAACCUUCUGAUUGAAUAUAUAUAUUUUGUCAUUAUACCCCCACAAAAGAAGUUUAGAGGGGUAUACAUGUAUAGGCGUGAGCUUGUCGGUCGGCCGGUCUGUCGGUCCGUAUUAAGUGUUCGCUCUCUAAUUCAAGUUGUUUUCAUCCGAUCUUCACCAAACUUGGUCUGAUGUUGAAUCUAGAUGAUGUCUAGGUCAAGUUCGAAUAUUGGUCAUGUCUGGUCAAAAACUAGGUCACGGGGUCACUUAGUGCGUUUUAAACAUUGAGCAUGGUGUCCGCUCUCUAAUUCAAUUAGUUUUCAUCUGAGCUUCACCAAACUUUGUCAGAAGUUGUAUCUAGAUGAUCUUAAGGUCAAGUUCUAGCAUGGGCCAUGCAAGAUCAAAAACUAGGUCACGGGGUCACUUUGUACGUUUUACACAUUCAGCAUAGUGUCUGCUCUCUAAUUCAAGUAGUUUUCAUCCGAUCUUCACCACACUUGUUCAGAAUUUGGAUCUAGAUGAUAUGUAGGUCAAGUUUGAACAUGGGCCAUGCCUGGUCAAAACUAGGUCACGGGGUCACUUAGUGCGUUUUAAACAUUGAGCAUGGUGUCCGCUUUUGUUUGUUAAGACAACAUGCAAAAUAUUCUGUGUCAAUGCGGCAUGUGGGGAUAUUUGUCACGUCUGUGACAAAACUCUAGUUUGAUUUGAAAAAGAUAACUAAUUUUUUUUAAGUUUUCUAAGUAUGUGAUUGAUUAAUGUAAAUUAUAUUGUUAAGAAUUAUCUCUGAAUAUAAACUUGCAUUGUUUUUAAGACGUGUUAAUGCAAAAUUGCAGUUGCAGAUGUAAGCCAGUUGUUAAAUGUGUUUGAAAACAAAAAUCAUAAAAUUACACUUCAGCCCUUGUGGGAAAAGAAAAAACAAACCGUUUUAUUUUAGAUUUAUAAGUGAGCAGGUACUAUUCAGCUCACAUGAGCACAACAUAUUCAUUCAUGGUGCGCUUUUACGAUAACAUAUUGUCUGUUGUACUUGGUAUUUCAUGCAUUGUUAACAUUUUCUUUGUGAACACUAUAGGCCACUUUUUUGCCCAUCUUCAUGAUAUGACCAUUAAUUUUGUCCUAUUGAUAUCUUGGCUGUGAUCACAACUAGGUCAGAUGUUGUCAAAAGCUAAGCUUGAGACUCCGUGGCUUAAUGUUUGUUUGUGCAAUCUUUAUACUUUCUCUUAAUAUUUGCUGUGAUGAUUUCUCAGACUAGUGAGAUAUGGUUACUGUCCAUUGAAAAACAUGACGGUCAUGUGGACAAGCAACUUUCAUUAUGUGGCUUUAAUAAAACCAUGUCAACAAUCAAUAAAUCACAAUUUUUACCACCUCAUCAUGACACUCACUUGGAAUAUAAAAACUGUAUAUACAUGUAUAAUCUGGGUUUAGAUUAAACAAAAGAAAAUAUUGUUGGUUGUUUAAAAACAUGACUGCUAGAUGUUUCAGUUUUCCUUAUAAGUCUAUUGUGAAACCUUGUGAACCUACCUGGGCAGAAUAUUUUACUUCCUUGGGGUGUUAUUUGAUUGGUUUAAGGCCUUUGGUCCUCUUUUCAUGCAUAAAGUAUGUUAGAAACCUCACUAAAAACAAACCGGUACAUUGUGUCAGUCCUUGUACUGUUUCUGGGCAUUGUACUGUUAUUAAAGCAUGUUUAUGUCAUGUCUGUGUCAACAUGUAUAUUGAUGUAGGUGUUAUUUUAGUUUUUAAUGUUGUCAAUAUUUGUUUUUAUGUAAAAUGGUUUUCAUGAUAUGUAAAAAUGGUCAUUUUAAAUGUAAUUUCAUUUAAGGAAUAAUACAAUAUAAAAGUGUGAAAUAA